UCCCAUGCACCACCGGCCUACACACUAACACAUUACACACAGCACCUCACCCUGCGUCCGCAUUCGCGACUCGUGCAGCGAACGAACGAGGCCGCGCGCCAUGGCGAAGGCGGUCGCGGUGCUGGCGGCGCUGGUGCUGCUGGUGGCGGCGAUGGGCGUGGCGGACGCGGCGCCGGCGCCGGCGCCGGCGCAGCAGUGCGACGCAACGAGGCUGGCGGACUGCGCGUUCGCGUUCUUGUUUGGGACGACGCCCCUAAAGUCGUGCUGCGACAGCCUGCGCGAGGAGCAGAAGGGGUGCCUCUGCGUGUACGCGCGCGACCCGCAGUACAGCGGCUUCCUCACCACCAGCACCACCGUCCGCAACGCGCUCGCCUACUGCAAGGUCGCCUACCCAAGCUGCUAGGCGCCCGCGCCGCGCCGUGCGCGUGCGGGCUGUGCGAUUUGCCUCGCAUCUAUAUACAACAACUACUACUACGUACUUGUGUGAUGUGACGAAUGGAUUUGAAUAAAUGGGGCGAACCAGGUGAUCCCCCGGGGAGAGCAUAUACUAUAUAUGCAUGUCGAUCGGUCGGUCUUAUAGUAUUUGCGCUUGAGAUAAAUGGAGAUUACUACAGAGUGAUGAACUACUACUAUACAUAUUAAGUUACUUCUCACUUUUUCCCAGUGUUACCGUGCGUGCAACCUCGUCUUCCUGGCCAAAAAUUACCAUUUCAUUUACCAAAGCAACGUCUUCCUGGCAAAAGAUCAGCUAACGUUAAGCUGUAAAAACUUGACACUGAGCCUGCGCCGUGGCCUUAGCCGGUUCAUGGGACCGGACUUACUGAAACCAGCUUAUCAAUAGGUUCGACCAAUCUUGGCCUUGCAUUGCUUGGUCUCCGCCUGGUGUGAUGCGGUGUUCCAACAAGCUGAGUGAAUCAAUUAUUCAGAGAACUCGAAACUAAAAAAAAA
rnacentral:lncRNA from 1 species